rnacentral:sRNA from 1 species
AGAAAGGCAUGUUUCAC